rnacentral:rRNA from 1 species
CUGACGAGUGGCGGACGGGUGAGUAAUGUCUGGGAAACUGCCCGGUGGAGGGGGAUAACUACUGGAAACGGUAGCUAAUACCGCAUAACGUCGCAAGACCAAAGAGGGGGACCUUCGGGCCUCUUGCCACCGGAUGUGCCCAGAUGGGAUUAGCUUGUUGGUGGGGUAACGGCUCACCAAGGCGACGAUCCCUAGCUGGCCUGAGAGGAUGACCAGCCACACUGGAACUGAGACACGGUCCAGACUCCUACGGAAGGCAGCAG